GAGGAAUAUUGGUCAAUGGGCGAGAGCCUGAACCAGCCAAGUCGCGUGAAGGAAGACUGCCUUAUGGGUUGUAAACUUCUUUUAUACAGGAAUAAAAAGACCUACGUGUAGGUUAUUGCAUGUACUGUAUGAAUAAGCAUCGGCUAACUCCGUGCCAGCAGCCGCGGUAAUACGGAGGAUGCGAGCGUUAUCCGGAUUUAUUGGGUUUAAAGGGUGCGCAGGCGGGAAUUUAAGUCAGCGGUGAAAUCUGGUCGCUUAACGAUCACACUGCCGUUGAAACUGGGUUUCUUGAGUAUGGAUGAAGUAGGCGGAAUUCGUUGUGUAGCGGUGACAUGCAUAGAUAUAACGAGGAACUCCGAUUGCGUAGGCAGCUUACUAAGCCAUAACUGACGCUCAAGCACGAAAGCGUGGGGAUCAAAC
rnacentral:rRNA from 1 species